rnacentral:rRNA from 1 species
ACAUCCAGCGAACUUGGCAGAGAUGCCUUGGUGCCUUCGGGAACGCUGAGACAGGUGCUGCAUGGCUGUCGUCAGCUCGUGUUGUGAAAUGUUGGGUUAAGUCCCGNAACGAGCGCAACCCUUUAUCCUUUGUUGCCAGCGAUUCGGUCGGGAACUCAAAGGAGACUGCCGGUGAUAAACCGGAGGAAGGUGGGGAUGACGUCAAGUCAUCAUGGCCCUUACGAGUAGGGCUACACACGUGCUACAAUGGCGCAUACAAAGAGAAGCGACCUCGCGAGAGCAAGCGGACCUCAUAAAGUGCGCCGUAGUCCGGAUCGGAGUCUGCAACUCGACUCCGUGAAGUCGGAAUCGCUAGUAAUCGUGGAUCAGAAUGCCACGGUGAAUACGUUCCCGGGCCUUGUACACACCGCCCGUCACACCAUGGGAGUGGGUUGCAAAAGAAGUAGGUAGCUUAACCUUCGGGAGGGCGCUUACCACUUUGUGAUUCAUGACUGGGGUGAAGUCGUAACAAGGUAAGCGUAGCGAG